rnacentral:rRNA from 1 species
CUACGGGACGCUGCAGUGGGGAAUAUUGGACAAUGGGGGAAACCCUGAUCCAGCAAUGCCGCUUGUGUGAAGAAGGCCUGCGGGUUGUAAAGCACUUUCGGUUGGGAGGACUGCUUCUAGCACUAAUAUUGUUGGAAGUUGACGUUACCUUCAGAAGAAGCACCGGGUAACUCCGUGCCAGCAGCCGCGGUGAAUACGGAGGGUGCAAGCGUUAAUCGGAAUUACUGGGCGUAAAGCGCGCGUAGGCGGCUAGAUCAGUCGGGUGUGAAAGCCCCGGGCUUAACCUGGGAACUGCAUCCGAUACUGUCUAGCUUGAGUACAGGAGAGGAGAGUGGAAUUCCACAUGUAGCGGUGAAAUGCGUAGAUAUGUGGAGGAACACCAAUGGCGAAGGCAGCUCUCUGGCCUGAUACUGACGCUGAGGUGCGAAAGCGUGGGGAGCAAACAGGAUUAGAUACCCCAGUAGUC